rnacentral:lncRNA from 1 species
GAAUGAGGAGGAGACAUACGUCCUGGUAUUAGGGGAGCCAGCCAGGCUCAGGAGGGAAAAGCUUUGUGUUGCAUUUAAUCAUACACACUGUGAUGUCUAUGCUACAGCACUCCGGCCAGUACCUGGUGUGUGGUGUGAGGCCCACUCAAACUGAGUUCAUUUCAUUUCUCGGGCUUAACAUACACUUUUAUUUUCCUGAUGUUCUUGGAUGUCAUUCUCAGCAUCUCGGUUUCUGUGGAGGCCAAACCUCGAGAAAGAAAGCCAAGUCUCCAUUGUCGCGAGUGGUUGAUCCAGGAGCGAAGGGAAGCUGGGCCAUGGAGUGGGCUCAGCAGAGUCAGGGAAGCCCUCUGGGAUGCAGACAGAGCAGGAAAGCUUCCACUGCUCGCCCUGUGUAGAUGCAAUUCAGACUCCUGGUGGUGCGAGGAGUAUGGGAAAGGCGCGUGGCACCCCUCUGAAGAGCAGGCCCCCUUCAUUAGGUUUCCCCUACACGUUUGACUAAACCAUAAGUGCUUCUUACAACUUAGCUCCAUCCAAGACUUGUUUAAUGUCUAGCAGUAUUGGAGGCCACAAACAAGAGCUCAAGCCCUGUCACAUUUGUGGACUCAACUUGUUCCUUCUCUAUUCAUUUUCUUUUUCUUUCUUUUUUUUCCUCUUAAAAUUUAUCUACUCAGAGCAUAACCAAAGACCUCACCCCCAGGCCACUGGUAGGUUCAGCUAACAGGGAGCUGCUGGGCAUGGCUGGAAGGGUAGAAAGCAAGAAGGAAGGGAAAGGGGGGAGUUCUUUACCUCAGCCAGCAGCUGCCUUCAUUUGGGACCGAAAAAGCAUUAGCAGAAUCACCAUGCUCCACCUGGAAUCGGGUGGUCUUGGCUUUGGAUGGAGCCUUGCAGGCUCUGUGGGCUGCCCCUGGCACCAGUCUGGAAGCUGGAUGCCGUUCACUCGAGUUGGUUGGAGCAAACCAGCUGCGACCCAGUUGGAUGAACAUGGGUGUCCAUCUGGGUACUAGAUCUCUAUGUAAGACAAGGUCAGUCCGGGCUGGUAGAUCAGGAUGCACAGAGGAAGUGUCCCCCUUUCUACAAAUUUCAAAGGGUAAUAUAUACAGAAAAGAAACAUUCUCUUGUGAAAUAUACUUUUGUAAAUAAUAUUUAAUUUUUUUAAAUAAUAUAUUUGGUGCUGUUUUCUCAGAGCCCCUGAGAGCACUUUUUAUUUUUGUUUUGAAAUUCUGCUGUUUCCUCUGCAUUUUUUGAAGUCUGUUUUAAGGGA